GCUUAGCCCUAAACCUAGAUAGUUAACCAAACAAAACUAUCCGCCAGAGAACUACUAGCAACAGCUUAAAACUCAAAGGACUUGGCGGUGCUUUACAUCCCUCUAGAGGAGCCUGUUCUAUAAUCGAUAAACCCCGAUACACCUCACCAUCUCUUGCUAAUUCAGCCUAUAUACCGCCAUCUUCAGCAAACCCUAAAAAGGAGUAAAAGUAAGCACAAGUAUCUCAACACAAAAAAGUAGGUCAAGGUGUAGCCCAUGAGAUGGGAAGUAAUGGGCUACAUUUUCUAAAACUAGAACAUCCACGAAAAUCCUUAUGAAACUAAGUAUUAAAGGAGGAUUUAGUAGUAAAUUUGAGAGUAGAGAGCUCAAUUGAAUCGGGCCA
rnacentral:rRNA from 1 species